rnacentral:rRNA from 1 species
UACGUAGGGCGCAAGCGUUGUCCGGAAUUAUUGGGCGUAAAGAGCUCGUAGGCGGCUUGUCACGUCGGGUGGGAAAGCCCGGGGCUUAACCCCGGGUCUGCAUUCGAUACGGGCUGGCUAGAGUGUGGUAGGGGAGAUCGGAAUUCCUGGUGUAGCGGUGAAAUGCGCAGAUAUCAGGAGGAACACCGAUGGCGAAGGCAGGUCUCUGGGCAUUAACUGACGCUGAGGAGCGAAAGCAUGGGGAGCGAACAGG